rnacentral:lncRNA from 1 species
AUAAAAGCAAAAUCUAUUUAUUCACUUGUUGGGUUCUGAGCAUCAACCUGCUGACAGAUCUCAUAACAUGGCUCAUCCUUAGUCCCACAGGACCAUCCUGAUGUUUACUACUUGAUCUUGGGGAGAAAAAAAGCAUAUAAGCCACAGGUCUCAGCAAAGUGUUUCUUACUAUAGGGAUGAUUUUUAUGUGAGUUGAGAAUGACAGGUCAGGUCCGAUGCUUAAAAAAAUCCCGAGAAAGCCCUCAGUUUCUUGCUGGGAUAAUGAAAGUCAUAUAGAAAGCAAUUUGCAAUCCUGUUUUAGGCUUGCAUCGUAUCACCUACUACCAUCAUGGAGAGAUGGCUAUAGACAGCAUGAGAAUUAUUGCCAAAUAGUCACAGGGGAAGGCUGAUCCUGUUUCUGAAAUACACUUUGAUACUUAUGAGAUAAGGAGAGUUUCUCACUACAAGAAUAGAUUAGAGCCCUAAGCAGCAUAGCUGCUGAUUUUUUCCACCAUAGGAGAAGAAGCAGGAGGAGGAGUAGGAGGGUUAUGACAACUUUUGCAAUCUACCACAGGACAAAACUAAAUAGAAACACCCUACCAAGCCAUUGUGUUUUUGUUCCCAUUCAUGUAACUGAAUUGACUUUUUUCCUGGACUCUUACUUGCCAGGAGAAGGGGACAAUCUGGAAGGAGAAGGGGAAAGAGAAGAAUAAUAAAGUCUUUAUGUAAAAGUGGCCAUAAACCUUCUUUUCUCCUUUCAUUUAUGCCCUCUGUAAUGUGACUUUGCAGCUUGUACCUAUGCUGAAUCUGCUUUCCUCCCCGCUUCAGUUAGGAGUGUUCUCACAACUUGUUUUGGGCAACAGAAAGUGGCAGACAUAUCAGAGUGGCAGUUCCAAGCCUAAACUUUUAAGAAGUCUUGCACAUUUCCACUCUCUUGGAACCCUGCUGCUGCAAUGUGAACAAGUCCAGAAUGGCCUGCUGCAUGAUGGUAGACCAUAUGGAGAGAAUCCUCAGGCUUCCCAGUUGACUAGCUGAGGCCAUCAUAGACCAGACAGCCCUUAGCUGCUUUCCCCAUCCCCCAAAGUUGGCUACAGACAUAUGAGCAAACCCAGCCAAAUUCAGCCAAGUCUGGCUCAGAUCAGCAAACUGCACAGUUGAUCCAUGAAUUAGUAAGCAACUUGCUGUUGUUUAAAACAUUAAGUAUUGGGAUGAUUUAUCACAUAGCAAAGACCAACUUAUACAUGACCCAAGCCAUUGAAACACACACUCCAAACCACCCUGUGGUUCUUUAACAUGCCUCAUAGUCUAAGUUUUAUAUAAAUGAGCAGAGGGUACCAGAGCUCAGUUUUCUUGUAUCCUGGGCUGGGUAAAAGUUCUGUAAUGAACCCACUUAUAGCUCCAUUGGCUUUAGACCUGAGUCAGAGAGGAGAUGUAAUUUUUCUUCUAGCUUUAUAAUUCCCUUUAAUUUUUUUCUUCAAAUCUUUUCCUAUUGAAUUUGAAUAAUCUUAAAGUAAUCUUGGUUGUGCUGUUAUGUAGUUUGUAAUUUUUGUGUGUCUUGGGGUGAGAGGAAAGGGAAAACAGGGGUGACAUGUAUUGAUUGGGAACCCAGUGAGAUGAAAGAUAGACCAAAACCUUAUGUGAAAUCACAUGUUGAAUAAACCCAGGGCUAUAUAUAAAUCAUCUCCUGCAAUAUGUACCUUAUUUUCUUUGCAUUAAAUGAGAAAGGGACAAUACCUACUUCCAUAUCAUGGCCCAAAAUUUCUCCAAGCAUUUCCUCAAACCCAUGUUAAUAAUUCAUUCAUUUAUCUAUUUGCUCUUUUAUUUGUUCAGUAAAUAUGGGGCACAGAGGAGGGAUGUCAAGUUGUAGCAUGCAUGAGCAUUUGCAUAGAUAUACUUCCAAGAGAAGAGAGGGAGAGCAUUCUAAUGCCCUACAAUGGUUCAUAGCAGGGAAAACCUGAGAGUAGAGCAUCUACACAUUUUCUUCAACUGUCUAGACAGCCACAGUGAUAAGAUGGAUAUUCAUUUUUUCUGGACUCAAGGACAGCUGGAGACUAUUUCUCCCUGUGUGUUCUGUGACCUUCAUUAUACAUCAUGAAAGAAAUUCAGCCAGGGUUGGACUGAGGGCUGCCGAGGAGCACCCAAUGCCUAGAGGGUGAGAAAUAAAAAUAAAAUUAAAA